GGAUUUAUUGGGUUUAAAGGGAGCGUAGGCCGGAGAUUAAGUGUGUUGUGAAAUGUAGACGCUCAACGUCUGACUUGCAGCGCAUACUGGUUUCCUUGAGUACGCACAACGUUGGUGGAAUUCGUCGUGUAGCGGUGAAAUGCUUAGAUAUGACGAAGAACUCCGAUUGCGAAGGCAGCUGACGGGAGCGCAACUGACGCUUAAGCUCGAAGGUGCGGGUAUCGAACAGGAUUAGAUACCCUGGUAGUCCGCACAGUAAACGAUGGAUGCCCGCUGUUGGUACCUGGUAUCAGCGGCUAAGCGAAAGCAUUAAGCAUCCCACCUGGGGAGUACGCCGGCAACGGUGAAACUCAAAGGAAUUGACGGGGGCCCGCACAAGCGGAGGAACAUGUGGUUUAAUUCGAUGAUACGCGAGGAACCUUACCCGGGCU
rnacentral:rRNA from 1 species